rnacentral:lncRNA from 1 species
GGUGAACAACCAUCCCAAUUUUCCUAGGACUGAUGGGAUUUCUGGAAGUUGAAUGAAUCAGGGAGUUCGGUAGAGCUUAUUAUGAAGACCAGCAGUGACCCUCUGGCCCCAACUUUCUGUCAUCUCUACCUUCUCAGAAGUCAGUUGUUCCAGCUCUUAGAAGUGAAGAUUUUGUGCUUCAUACAAUACUGGCAUUUUGUUUCAGAAUUCCUCUUUCUUAGAGACAUUAAAGAACACCCAGCAAACCUCAGAGAAGGAGGCUUCUUGGCCAAAAUCUUUCUUCAAGGAGAGAGAGACAUGAAUAGCCGUUAGUGGACGAUGCCAAGAUACUGCUUAGGAAAGCUAGCGUCAUCUGUUCAUUUGUUUUGUAAACCCAGAAAAUGAUGUCAUGUGUAAUACGGAUCAGAGAACAGAGACAUGGAGUGAACUCUGGAAAUAACCACAAGACCUGGGAAACGGUUGAGGGUAUGUGAGAAAUUGUUUUGAGUAAAGUGUUAGACUUGAAAGACUAAGGCUGUUCAAUAGUAAACUAGGUCCUUAGUUUGAAUGAGGGUCUGCUUUUUUGCUUUUCAAAAUGUGAUUCAUAUCAACUAGCUUGUUCAAAGGGAGAAUUUUAUUUCCUGUCGUG